AUUGAACGCUGGCGGCAGGCCUAACACAUGCAAGUCGAGCGGAUGACGGGAGCUUGCUCCUUGAUUCAGCGGCGGACGGGUGAGUAAUGCCUAGGAAUCUGCCUGGUAGUGGGGGACAACGUUUCGAAAGGAACGCUAAUACCGCAUACGUCCUACGGGAGAAAGCAGGGGACCUUCGGGCCUUGCGCUAUCAGAUGAGCAUAGGUCGGAUUAGCUAGUUGGUGAGGUAAUGGCUCACCAAGGCGACGAUCCGUAACUGGUCUGAGAGGAUGAUCAGUCACACUGGAACUGAGACACGGUCCAGACUCCUACGGGAGGCAGCAGUGGGGAAUAUUGGACAAUGGGCGAAAGCCUGAUCCAGCCAUGCCGCGUGUGUGAAGAAGGUCUUCGGAUUGUAAAGCACUUUAAGUUGGGAGGAAGGGCAGUAAGUUAAUACCUUGCUGUUUUGACGUUACCGACAGAAUAAGCACCGGCUAACUUCGUGCCAGCAGCCGCCGUAAGAC
rnacentral:rRNA from 1 species